AGAGUUUGAUCUUGGCUCAGGAUGAACGCUAGCGACAGGCUUAACACAUGCAAGUCGAGGGGCAGCGGGGGCGUAGCAAUAUGCCUGCCGGCGACCGGCGCACGGGUGAGUAACACGUAUGUAACCUGCCCUAUGCGGGGGGAUAACCCGGAGAAAUCCGGCCUAAUACCGCGUAACACCUUAGGGGAGCAUUCUCUUGAGGUUAAAGGAGAGAUCCGGCAUAGGAUGGACAUGCGUCGCAUUAGGUAGACGGCGGGGUAACGGCCCACCGUGCCGACGAUGCGUAGGGGUUCUGAGAGGAAGGCCCCCCACACUGGUACUGAUACACGGACCAGACUCCUACGGGAGGCAGCAGUGAGGAAUAUUGGUCAAUGGCCGAGAGGCUGAACCAACCAAGUCGCGUGAGGGAAGAAUGUCCUAAGGAUUGUAAACCUCUUUUGUCGGGGAGCAAAAAGGCUCUGCGGAGUCGUAUUGAGAGUACCCUGAAUAAAAGCUUCGGCUAACUCCGUGUUCACAUCCUCGAUAAUACUAAUGAUACCGAGCGUUAUCCCUGAAUUCUAUUGGGUUUAAAAUGGUGCACACGCUGCGUGUCAUGCAAGCGGUAAAAUAGCGGGGCUCAACCCCGUCGAGCCGUUUGAAAUGGCGCGCUUGAGUUCAGGCGAGGUAGGCGGAGUUCGUGGUGUAGCGGUGAAAUGCAUAGAUAUCACGAAGAACUCCGAUUGCCCAGGCAAGCUUACCAGUCUGCGACUGACGCUCAGGCACGAAAGUGUGGGUAUCGAACAGGAUUAGAUACCCUGGUAGUCCACACAGUAAACGAUGAGCGCUAGGUGUCCGGGUCGCAUGAGACUUGGGUGCCCGAGCGAAAGCGUUAAGCGCUCCACCUGGGGAGUACGCCGGCAACGGUGAAACUCAAAGGAAUUGACGGGGGCCCGCACAAGCGGAGGAACAUGUGGUUUAAUUCGAUGAUACGCGAGGAACCUUACCCGGGCUCAAACGACUCAGGAAUAUAUUGGAAACGAUGUAGCCAGCAAUGGUCUGAGUCGAGGUGCUGCAUGGUUGUCGUCAGCUCGUGCCGUGAGGUGUCGGCUUAAGUGCCAUAACGAGCGCAACCCCUACCGCCAGUUGCCAACGGGUAAAGCCGGGAACUCUGGCGGGACUGCCGGCGCAAGCUGCGAGGAAGGCGGGGAUGACGUCAAAUCAGCACGGCCCUUACGUCCGGGGCGACACACGUGUUACAAUGGCAGGUACAGCGGGAAGCCACCUGGUGACAGGGAGCGGAACCCGAAAGCCUGUCUCAGUUCGGAUUGGAGUCUGCAACUCGACUCCAUGAAGCUGGAUUCGCUAGUAAUCGUGCAUCAGCCAUGGCGCGGUGAAUACGUUCCUCGGGCCUUGCACACACCGCCCGUCA
rnacentral:rRNA from 1 species